GCACGAGUGUUAAUUCGAAGUUAUAUACAAAUUAAUAAACAAUAAGUGCAAUACAAAAACCAAUUAUAUGCACAGAACUGAAAUUCCAUGCGAAUGGUUUUAGUGAAGGACUGUUGGAAAUUUCAACGAAAUGCAUGAAAUACUUGAAGCAUUAUCUAAUAUGAAUGCGCCUUCUAUAUAUUUAUGUUCG